AACGCGAAGAACCUUACCUACCCUUGACAUCCUCGGAAGCUGACAGAGAUGUUGGUGUGCCUUCGGGAACCGAGAGACAGGUGCUGCAUGGCUGUCGUCAGCUCGUGUCGUGAGAUGUUGGGUUAAGUCCCGUAACGAGCGCAACCCCUAUUCCUAGUUGCCAACAGGUAAAGCUGGGAACUCUAAGGAGACUGCCGGUGACAAGCCGGAGGAAGGUGGGGAUGACGUCAAGUCCUCAUGGCCCUUACGGGUAGGGCUACACACGUGCUACAAUGGACGGUACAAAGGGAAGCGAAGCUGUGAAGUGAAGCGGAUCUUAUGAAAGCCGUUCGUAGUCCGGAUUGGAGUCUGCAACUCGACUCCAUGAAGUUGGAAUCGCUAGUAAUCGCGGAUCAGAACGCCGCGGUGAAUACGUUCCCGGGCCUUGUACACACCGAGACGAC
rnacentral:rRNA from 1 species